GGAAGACCAACCUGACGAAACGAUGCCAGACGCACCACCUUUCCAACCUCCAAAUGCCUUGGCAGUUCAAAGGAGGAUGGAGAUUAUUCAAUGUUUUCGAGACUGAGUCUGUCAGGACCCUUGGUUCACGGCUUGAUGUGGCGCGGGAGCGUGGUGCCUCACUGUGGGUCGCAGCGGGGGGAAUAAUUGCCUCUCCCAGGAUGACUCCGGAACUGUCUCCACUCACUGCAAUUUAUGGAAUUAUUUGAUUACUGCAUCAGAGCAGAUUAUAAUUUCCUGUCAAAUAAAGUGGUGACCACAAUAUUGACAA